UGAGCAAAUCGCGAAGCGCACCGCGCGCGCGCUAACCAGUCGUUUGUUGAUCCAACGAGUGUUCGGGUCGACGUGCGACCGUUCGUGAGUAUAGUCUAACAAGAAAUAAAGAUAGAUAGAUAGAUUAGAAGAUAGUUAGAUAAAUAGAUAAACAAACAACUAGAAGGAUAGAAAGAAAGAAAGAAAGAAAGAAGAAAGUAUCCUCGUCAUCAGCAACUGAAAUUUUGGAAGCAGCUAGAAGAAGGAAGGAAGGAAGGAAGGAAGAUUGAUUGAUUCAUCAUCAUUCAUCGAUCAUUUUUUUCAAUGAUCUCUACCAGUGAAUCAUAAGAAUAGGAUUUGAGUGUUUGGAUAUAGUAGUAUCGUUCGACAAUAAAAAAAAAAGUAAUAAUAAACUUCUCGAUGCAUCAUCGAUCGAAGACUUGAAUUUGGAAUUACCAUCCUUGCGAGGGAGGGGGAGGAAGGAAGGAAAAAAGGCAGAGGAAGAAUGAUGAAGAUGUAAAAAAUUCCAAAUUCAAGGAAAUAAAUUGAUAAGGAAACGAAG
rnacentral:lncRNA from 1 species